GUGUGUUAGGAUAUGAGGUCGAGACAUGGCAUAUUAGUUAGUAGAAGAGACCAAAAGACUCGACACUUGGCGUAAUAAUUAUUUUUUGGUACGCGAAAGCCUUGAAUAUGUUCUUUGUUACGUGAAAUAUUUAAUAUUCUCUUUGAUAGUAAGUUUCUUGAGAGAUUUAUUAUAAAAGGUAAAAUAGAGCACAAUAAUUGAGGUCGGAUUCUAUCUCCUCCUUCUUGACCCACUUGAUCACAAAAAGAACUACAUCCAGAGUUAAGCUCUAACAUUGGUCUUUGUAUAGGAGGGACAUCUCGAAACCAAUCCAUCUCGGGAUAACAGACGAGGCUAGAACCAACUAGGGGAUGUUGCAGAGCGUCGUCCCACCGACAUCCAAUCCCAUCAGGGACAAUGUGCUUAUAGAGGGAGGGACCAUUCAUCGUAAGAUUCGAUCUUGUGACUACGACGGCGGCGCCACCACCAUGUGGGUUUGCGAGGGUGCCGGAGGACCCUCUUCCUCGUCGGAGAGCUUGAAGCCAUAGCUAAAACCGCGGUUCGUUCCAGGGGACAUGAAACACGUGCUUUCAAUCAUCCACCCUUACAGGCGACAAAAGAUUGUGGAAUCCUGUUCACCGGGCGACAAUUGCUAGGGUAAAACAUAGUUUUGCUGGACUAUGAGAGAGAGGGAGAGAGAGAAGUAUAUCGUCUGAUUGAAGAAAUUUUGACAAGGAAUCUCUGAUAUCAUGAUGUCAGACACUACCUCGAUUGUGCUGCUUAAUCUCCGAUAUCAUCAGAUCAGUGGCGUAGUACUUCACUGACGAAGCGAGCAGCUUGGAGUUUGGCCCUUAGCAUGGAGCUCCCUUUUUCUUCUUGGAAUCAUACUUCACUGGUGCCUAUCAUUAGGGUACAAAUGCAACACAAAGCGAAAGCCUCCCUUAGCUGUUCUUACCUUCUCAUUCACUUUCUGCUGUUGAUAAGAUCCAACUCUUCUUCAAGAAUGUCUACGACAGAGACAGCGAUGUAACACCAAAGCAGAGGACAGCUUCACAUGGCAAUUCCCACGCCAUUCCAUGCACUCUUUCCGCUGCUCAUUAGCUUUUACCACACAUCAUUUAAUGAUCCAAAGGGACCAAAUGGUAUAAUCUUUAUUCAUAAUGGUGAGAAUUUAUGACUUCUUGGAACAAAGUACAAAGUGUGAAGGAGGCUUUGGAUGCGUACUAUGUGAAUGAUGGAAUGUUUGUUCCACUAGUCCUCCUAAUGAACAUAUACAUGAAUGCAAAAAGGCAUGCUCAUGUGUUUCCGUUCCUGUUGCAGGGGAUUGAUCACUCGGAGCUCAAAGCGAACAAGACGACUCAGGCCGUCUCUCUGCAUCUGGCUCAUCGAAGUAUAAACGUUUGAAGGACAGGUUUGAAGAAAGAGAAGCUGACACUGUGUGUGACAGCAUCACAGGCUGGAAUCCAGACUGCUGCAGCUCCCCAAGGUCUGCGGAAAAGGUAUUGUUCUCUAGGGGUCACAAAAUAGCCGUGUACUGAAACAAGGAACAGGAGCUAAGUGGGCUGGAGAAAGUGUCUUUGUAGGGUACCAACGAGAUUUAUCUUCGAAAGUUCAAAGCCCCCUUUCUACUUUGAUGGAGACUUUUAGCUAUCACUAUAAUAUCGAAUCCUGGUUUUCUUGGACCGAGUCAUUUGCAACUCUUGUUUCUUCUUCUUCUUCCUCUCUGUUCUUCUGGGCAAGCAAACGCCACACUGAAGCAGAAGGCAGAUGGAAGCAGAUUAUGCUUUUGUUUCUUAGUAAUAUACGUCAU